rnacentral:rRNA from 1 species
UGCGUCGGCUGUGAAAUCCCGAGGCUCAACCUCGGGUCUGCAGUCGAUACGAGCAAACUAGAGUGUUGCAGGGGAGACUGGAAUUCCUGGUGUAGCGGUGAAAUGCGCAGAUAUCAGGAGGAACACCGGUGGCGAAGGCGGGUCUCUGGGCAACAACUGACGCUGAGGAGCGAAAGCGUGGGGAGCGAACAGGAUUAGAUACCCUGGUAGUCCACGCCGUAAACGUUGGGCGCUAGGUGUGGGGCUCAUUCCACGAGUUCCGUGCCGCAGCUAACGCAUUAAGCGCCCCGCCUGGGGAGUACGGCCGCAAGGCUAAAACUCAAAGGAAUUGACGGGGGCCCGCACAAGCGGCGGAGCAUGUUGCUUAAUUCGAUGCAACGCGAAGAACCUUACCUAGGCUUGACAUGCACGGAAAUCUCGCAGAGAUGCGGGGUCCGUAAGGGCCGUGCACAGGUGGUGCAUGGUUGUCGUCAGCUCGUGUCGUGAGAUGUUGGGUUAAGUCCCGCAACGAGCGCAACCCUCGUUCUAUGUUGCCAGCGGAUAAUGCCGGGGACUCAUAGGAGACUGCCGGGGUCAACUCGGAGGAAGGUGGGGAUGACGUCAAAUCAUCAUGCCCCUUAUGUCUAGGGCUGCAAACAUGCUACAAUGGCCGGUACAAAGGGCUGCGAUACCGCGAGGUGGAGCGAAUCCCAAAAAGCCGGUCUCAGUUCGGAUUGGGGUCUGCAACUCGACCCC